AACCCUAGGGGGGUCUGGGAGAGUGGCAAUCCAAGGUCCUGGAAGCUCCACCUGCCUUCCCCAGUCCUUGACUUGUGCGUCUCUUACAUCUGGCUGAUCCUGACUUAUAUCCUCUUGUAAUAAACUGGUAAUCUGGAUUCCUGAGAUCGAUUAAGGAUCACUGAAGCCCUAGAAUAAGCAGAAACUGAAGCAUAUUUGAAGCAUUGGAAGGACUCUGCAUCAUUGCUGGUUUGAAGAUGGAGGGGGCUCCUGUGAGAAGAAAUGUGGGUAGUCUCCAGGAGCUGUGAAAAACUUUCAGUGACGGCCAGCAAGGAAUCAGGGACCUCAGACCUAAUCUCAAAGAACGGAGUUCUGCCAAUGUCUUGAAUGGGCUGCCAGGGAGUUCCUUCCCAGAGA